rnacentral:rRNA from 1 species
AUGAACGCUGGCGGCGUGCCUAAUACAUGCAAGUCGAGCGAACAGACGAGGAGCUUGCUCCUCUGACGUUAGCGGCGGACGGGUGAGUAACACGUGGAUAACCUACCUAUAAGACUGGGAUAACUUCGGGAAACCGGAGCUAAUACCGGAUAAUUUAUUGAACCGCAUGGUUCAAUAGUGAAAGACGGUUUUGCUGUCACUUAUAGAUGGAUCCGCGCCGCAUUAGCUAGUUGGUAAGGUAACGGCUUACCAAGGCAACGAUGCGUAGCCGACCUGAGAGGGUGAUCGGCCACACUGGAACUGAGACACGGUCCAGACUCCUACGGGAGGCAGCAGUAGGGAAUCUUCCGCAAUGGGCGAAAGCCUGACGGAGCAACGCCGCGUGAGUGAUGAAGGUCUUCGGAUCGUAAAACUCUGUUAUUAGGGAAGAACAAAUGUGUAAGUAACUAUGCACGUCUUGACGGUACCUAAUCAGAAAGCCACGGCUAACUACGUG